rnacentral:rRNA from 1 species
UAGUAACGGCGAGUGAAGAGGGAAAAGCUCAAAUUUUGAAUCUGGUGUCUUUGGCGCCCGAGUUGUAAUCUAGAGAAGUGUUUUCUGCCUCGGACCACACAUAAAUUCCCUGGAAUGGGGUGUCAUAGAGGGUGAGAAUCCCGUUUGUGGUGUGGACUACCUUGGCUCUGUGAUACACUCUCAACGAGUCGAGUUGUUUGGGAAUGCAGCUCAAAAUGGGUGGUAAAUUCCAUCUAAAGCUAAAUAUUGGCGAGAGACCGAUAGCGAACAAGUACCGUGAGGGAAAGAUGAAAAGCACUUUGGAAAGAGAGUGAAACAGUACGUGAAAUUGUUGAAAGGGAAGCGUUUGAAGUCAGUCACAUCGGUUGGAAUUCAGCCUGGCUUUGCCUGGUGUACUUUCUGGCAGAUGGGUCAGCGUCAAUUUUGACUGAGGGAAAAAGACUUGAGGAAUGUGGCUGUCUUUGGGCAGUGUUAUAGCCUCUUGUUGUAUGUCUCAGUUGGGAUUGAGGACCGCAGCACGCCUUAUGGCCGGGGCUCGCGCCCUCGGAACGUGCUUAGGA